UCCUAGUUCUAAAAAGAAAAAAACAAAGGC
rnacentral:piRNA from 1 species